rnacentral:rRNA from 1 species
UACGGAGGAUGCAAGCGUUAUCCGGAUUCAUUGGGUUUAAAGGGUGCGUAGGCGGAAUAAUCAGUCAGUGGUGAAAGUUUGUGGCUCAACCAUAAAAUUGCCUUUGAUACUGUUAUUCUUGAGUACAUUUGAGGUAGGCGGAAUGUGUUGUGUAGCGGUGAAAUGCUUAGAUAUAACACAGAACACCGAUUGCGAAGGCAGCUUACUAAACUGUUACUGACGCUGAUGCACGAAAGCGUGGGGAUCGAACAGG